GACGUAGGGAGCGAGCGUUGUCCGGAUUCAUUGGGCGUAAAGAGCGCGCAGGCGGCUUGGUAAGUCGGAUGUGAAAACCCGGAGCUCAACUCCGGGCGUGCAUCCGAUACUGCCCGGCUAGAGGUAGGUAGGGGAGAUCGGAAUUCCUGGUGUAGCGGUGGAAUGCGCAGAUAUCAGGAUGAACACCGGUGGCGAAGGCGGAUCUCUGGGCCUUACCUGACGCUCAGGCGCGAAAGCUAGGGGAGCGAACAGG
rnacentral:rRNA from 1 species